ACGGUGCUACGUGGCGAUUUGUUACCGGAUUGCGGGCCACGCUAAACAACACCGCUAAAAGGUCAGGAUGAAAGGCCC
rfam:Ruegeria meonggei strain CECT 8411 genome assembly, contig: 0003